rnacentral:ncRNA from 1 species
UGAUUUUGGUUUUAGUUGUAUUAAGAUAGUAUUACUUAUGUUUAGUUUAUUUAAUGUGUAAUUUUUUGUUCACUGGUAGUUUUUUGAUUGUUUUAUUAAUGUUCCAGAAUAAUCGGCUAUGCGUUUUAAUUUUUAACUCUAAUUAUUGUAGUAUUUUUUCUUUUGUUUCUAUUUUUUAUUUUAAUUUUUUGUAAAAUGUUUUAGUUUAUUUUUGUUUUGAGGAAAUACUUAAAAUUUGUUUUAUUGAACUGGAUUAGUACCCAGGUAAUCAAAAUUAAUUAAUUCGGGAGUAAAGUUUUGUUUAAACCGAAAAAAUAUUGACUGACUUUAGAUUUCUUUUUGGAACAUGUGUAUGGAGAGCCCUCCUUUUAAGUAAAUUUUUUUUUGCUCAUGUAUGAUUGUUUAGUUUUUAUGUUAUUUUGUAAUGCUUUUUUUUUAAUUUAAAACAGAUAAAUACUUGGCUAAUGGGUUUAUGAUCAUGUGUUACUAUUAAUAAUUUUUUUUGGAUAGUUUUUUAUUUUUUAUUUGAAAUUGGAAAAAAAAGUAAUUAUUUUUUUAUGUAUUAGUGAAUUUAAUAAAUAAAGUGGUACAAACCAUCCGUCAAUGGCCUAAAGGGGCGUAAGUUGUAGUAUGGUAGAGGUAAGGAAACUUGUUUCUAUUUUUU